ACCCGCUGCAGUACCUGGGGGGGUCCCUGUUGCCCCCUCCCAAAAAUGGAAUUUUGGGGCUGUUUUUGGGCUAUUUUUUUGUAAUUUUUGGGCAAUUUUGGGCUGUAUUUUUGCCAUAUUUUGGGCUGUAUUUUUGGCAUGUUUUGGGCUAUUCUGGGCUGUAUUUUUGAGCUAUUCUGGGCUGUAUUUUUGCCAUCUUUUGGGCUAUUUUGGGCUGUAUUUUUGGGCUAUUCUGGGCUGUAUUUUUGCCAUCUUUUGGGCUGUAUUUUUGCCAUCUUUUGGGCUAUUUUGGGCUGUAUUUUUGCCAUAUUUUGGGCUGUAUUUUUGGCAUAUUUUGGGCUGUAUUUUUGCCAUCUUUUGGGCUAUUUUGGGCUGUAUUUUUGCCAUAUUCUGGGCUGUAUUUUUGCCAUCUUUUGGGCUAUUCUGGGCUGUAUUUUUGCCAUAUUUUGGGCUAUUUUGGGCUGUAUUUUUGCCAUAUUCUGGGCUGUAUUUUUGCCAUCUUUUGCGCUAUUCGGGCGCGGUUUUUUGGGUGUUCGGUCUAUUUUGGGGAGGGGUCUCUAACCCGUGCCCCCCAGUACCUGUUUCCCCCUCCCCAAAAUGGAAUUUUUGGGCUGUUUUUGGGCUAUUUUUUGGUCAUUUUUGGGCUAUUCUGGGCUGUAUUUUUGACAUCUUUUGGGCUGUAUUUUUGCCAUCUUUUGGGCUAUUCUGGGCUGUAUUUUUGCCAUCUUUUGGGCUAUUCUGGGCUGUAUUUUUGGGCUAUUCUGGGCUGUAUUUUUGCCAUAUUUUGGGCUGUAUUUUUGGGCUAUUCUGGGCUGUAUUUUUGCCAUCUUUUGGGCUAUUCUGGGCUGUAUUUUUGCCAUCUUUUGGGCUAUUUUGGGCUGUAUUUUUGCCAUAUUUUGGGCUGUAUUUUUGGCAUCUUUUGGGCUAUUCUGGGCUGUAUUUUUGGGCUAUUCUGGGCUGUAUUUUUGAGCUAUUCUGGGCUGUAUUUUUGCCAUCUUUUGGGCUAUUUUGGGCUGUAUUUUUGCCAUAUUUUGGGCUGUAUUUUUGGCAUAUUUUGGGCUAUUCUGGGCUGUAUUUUUGGGCUAUUCUGGGCUGUAUUUUUGGGCUAUUCUGGGCUGUAUUUUUGCCAUCUUUUGGGCUGUAUUUUUGCCAUCUUUUGCGCUAUUCGGGCGCGGUUUUUUGGGUGUUGGGUCUAUUUUGGGGAGGGGUCUCUAACCCGUGCCCCCCAGUACCUGCUGC
rnacentral:lncRNA from 1 species